CUCAGUGUCAGUAAUCUUAAAUCCAAAAUAUCGCCAUAUUACAGAGGUAGAGUUUUUUUUGGCUACCAGAUCAGUGUCGAUCUCCUCGCCAUCCAUCUUCGUUCUGGUCUCUCCGCGCUGCGCUGCGCACACAAGUGACCACUGACCACGCCCACGCACGCCACACGUGCACUGCCUAUACUGAGACUGACCGAGACGGCACAGAAAAUCGGAAAACUGUUCUCAGAAAGUAUGUGUUCUCAAGUCCACACACUUAUUUAUUUAAUAUCGCAACAUUUUGCCGUCAUAUAAUCGCACAGGUUGACAUCGCGAUUGCGAUUGCGAUACGAUUAAUCGUGCAGCACUACUCCUGACAAAACAAUGCAGAUUUU